rnacentral:lncRNA from 1 species
GUUGGCAGGGAUAAGUGACUCUGGGUAUCAGGAGAAGGGAGAGUUCUGGUUCCCAAGGAGGGCGGGGAGGAAUUGUUUGUCUUUCAUGUGAACCAUCUAAGCAACUUGGUAUUUCUUUGCUCAAUCUUGAAUUUAAAUUAAAUUAAAAGGUUCAGGAGCCAGAAAAAAAAAAAAAAAACAUGACAAGGACUCAGAGCUCUCAGUAAUGAGGAUCUGGAUUCCCCGACCAGGUCAGUCAUCUAGAAUAGCAAGAUUCUGAGAGUGAAGGGAAGCUAGAGUGGAAAGUAGAGGGAGAGAAUACGUAUUAGCUGAUGCUCUGAGAUUUGCUUUGGUCAUGGUGAUUAUAGUUUGUACCACUAACCUCUCUUUUCAACAUUUCCCCCAGGAAAAGAGACAGCAGGAUACUGGAGCCACUGCUCAAGUUAUAUGAAGAAGUACAUGAACUGAAAUGGACACGAGGUUGUGCUACCAGGAUCCCUGCAUUGGUUAGCAUGGUAAAAAUCCCACACAUAAUGAGAAUUCAGGAGCACAGUAUCACAAUGGCCAAGAACUAUCUUAGAGAAGACAGGUACACUAUUAUUCUCAUCUUAAGUAUGAAAAUAAAUGAAGUGCAGAGAGGAUAA